GUCUACGGCCAUACCACCCUGAACGCGCCCGAUCUCGUCUGAUCUCGGAAGCUAAGCAGGGUCGGGCCUGGUUAGUACUUGGAUGGGAGGCAGUUCAUUUAUUGGAUAGACCAAUGCAGGUAGGUACAGACC
rnacentral:rRNA from 1 species